GUUAUGUCAGUUGGAGUUAAGAACAAAAUAUGGAAAUAAUCUAAGUCAAUGAAGGAAAGAAACACACAAGACAAAUCAGAAUUGAGAACUUUGACUUAUGUAAGUUAGAAUUACUUGAUGUUAUGGAGUGUGUGUUUGUGUCAAGUGACUGGUGUUACUUUGAGAAGUAUUACAAGGUAGCGAACAGAAGUGGAAAAAACACGACGGGAAAUAAGACCACGUGAGAUUAUUGGAUUUUGAAAGCAGCAGUUUUGAAGCUGGUGGACGUAUUUAUCAUUUACUAGUGAGCAAGUUGCAGCUAAACUUAAAGUAUUCAUCAAACAAGGAAGACGCAAUUGUCCAAUUUGUUUAGAGCUUUAGGGAUUAACUAUCGUUAGCAUUUGUUGUAGAUAAAACAACAACAAUGACAUUCACUUAAAGAACACAUUUACCGAAUGACAAAUAAUUGUGUGCUACGUUCGUCUUCAACACACUAUGAAUAUUAAUUAUGAUAAAAGGAACGAUUCAACGCUCUUCACGUGAUGAAGUAGAUGUAUAGAGAACAAAGGUACCAAAUAGCCAAUAGUUUAGUGCCAAGUUUUAUCUUCUACACAUUAUGGACAACAAUUUGGAUCAUUUUCUUCCUACUCCAGUCCUAGUCAUGUGACCGAGACUUGAACUUGGAGCACUGUUCAUUGACAUUGUUGUGACCAUUGGAUGAGGAAAUGUACGUUCUCUCUGACAGCCAAAAUAUGAGAGUUACAGUCUUGAAACCAAAAAGUUUUUUUGUUAAUUACACUAUAUCGCUGCUAGGAUACUCCUCAACUGACUCUAUAUUAAGCGAUUGCUGUCUGGUAAUUAAUGUGCUUUUCGAGCUAGCUGGACAUAAUUUUCGGACAUAUUUUUCGUUUUGCGACAAAUGCAGAUAUCAGAACUUGGACUAAAACUCGGUCUUUAUCUUACCAUAAUUUUUGAGUCGCGAUGGCUUGUGGAAGAUUUUUAUUCAGGCUCGAUUGCCCUCCAAGAUUUAUCUAGAUUCUCAAGAUACUGCAAGAGGGUCGAAAUGGUACAAUGGUGACUUAUCAUCUCAUUUUUCUAAAGAGAAUGGUAUAAAGCAGGGGGGUGAGUGUGCUUGCUUUAACACUGCAGAAUAAAAUGAGAUGACGUCUAAUUAACAUCAUCUGCAUCAUAGUUGAGCAAUAGAGGCAAUGCUCUUACUGAUUGUUACUGAUGUUAUCCUUUUUUUUUAUGCGGCUGACUUCGACCUUACAAACCGAAUAGGAGCUUCAACUUGCCAUCAGUAAGUUUGCUAAGGAUGCUGCAUCGUCUGGUCUAUCAACCUCAGAAAAACAGAAGUCAUGCUGCAUAAAUCACGAAACGGAACUAACUCUGCUUCACAAAUCAAUGUGAAUGACCUGUUGUCACGUUAACGUCAUGUACGAGGGCAGCUUAAAAAGUGCGUCACUAAAAGAGAAAUAGACAACCUCGGACUAAGGCCAACAGCGCUUUUUGUUCACCUCUGGUUUGAGGAUGGCUUCCAAAAAAAUCAUUGUCUGCAGGAGACAUCUAGGCUUCCUCCAAAGAUUCCAGCAAAGGUAUCUCCGCUCCGUAAUAGGCCUACACAAAACUACUAACUCACAAGUAACCAUAUGUUGCUCCAGGCCGGUGUAUCUAAGCACUUCAACGUUUUAAGUGAAUGUACAUUCGAUUAAAUUUCGGUUGAAAAAAAAACAAUUCUAAAAGUUAAUUAUUGAAACAUGACUAAAAAGAAGUCUUCUUAGUAAUCAGAUAGUACAUGGCAAGAAUAACGCAAUAUGUGGUUUCAUUGCCUGAGUUAAUAAAGUGUCUUUUUAGCAUUUUAACAAAGACGAGUAACUAAUUAUGAAAGGCUGAAGUAUCAUUUAUUGAAAUUUAUAAAAACCACUAGCAAUGAACUAGUGUAAACCAUCUGUCAUGGAAUACACCUACGAUGCAGUUAGCAGAAGUUUCAACAAAGUAUCUACACUUGAAAAUAAAUCUGGAGCAAUACGUUCAACCAAACUUCGCUCGUCGACUCAGUUAUGACAGAAAAACAUUGACAAUAUGGAAAUGGAAAGUGACAGCAUUAGAAGACGUAACGGUUACUUUAAAAAAAAAAACAAGAACAAAAAUAUAUUAGUAGCAGAACCUAUCGAUAAAAGCAGCAGUGUUGACUGACAGAUCUAGGCGAUUUCAGUAACACAGUUGACUGAAUCAGACAUUACUAAGGGUAGCUUCAGGAAUCAGCAGAAGCAACAUAUCCUAGCAAGAGAAACAUUGGGACUCUUCAGAGAAUUGGCAAGACUAAGAGAACAAGUACCAACAAACGUAAUUAGUACUUCCAUCGAACUUCAGAGAAACCAACAAGGAAAUGUGGAUUGUACUUCUAUGGAAAGUUACCUAGUAAGAUCAUUUCUUUUGUUUAUUUACAUAUACAUACAGACACCUUUAUUAACACUUUUGUUAUGUAUUGUUCUUCAUUAAUAUUUUUUUUAACUUAAUUUAUU
rnacentral:sRNA from 1 species